rnacentral:rRNA from 1 species
AAAGGAAACUUUAAGUGCUUUUUACCUUUAGUUUAGGUAAAAAGCAUGUUUUCGAGUGGUUUAUCCACAUAAAAUUCUAGAUAGAUAACUGAUAAUGACAAAUUUCUAUCUAAUAGUCUUGACUAAAUCACGUGCCAGCUGUCGCGGUAAUACGGGAAAGACAAGUGUUAUUCAUCUUUAUUAGGUUUAAAGGGUACCUAGACGGACAUAAGAACCCGAUCCUUUUUUGUAAUAAAUUGGCUGCAUGCAAUGAUGGUUUGUGUAAUACAGGAAUUACUAGCCUGUAUUUGCACAAUAACAGGGUAUAAUAAGCAUUGGUCAGCUUUGGAGUUUUCCAUUCUCCAACCCUCCUUUACUUGUAAUGUAUGGGUACAAAAAUCUAGAGUUUUAUCUGAGAGGUUAGUAUUAGUAUUAACAGAGUAGAGAUGAAAUUCUUUGAUACUGUCGGGCACUGAUAACGGCGAAGGCAACCCUUUAUGUAAAAACUGACGUUGAGGGACGAAGGCUUGGGUAGCAAACAGGAUUAGAUACCCUAAUAGUCCAGGCAGAAAAUGAUGAGUGCCAUAGACUAGAUUAUUUUUGGUCUAUAAAUGAAAGUGUAAGCAUUCCACCUCAAGAGUAAUGUGGCAACGCAGGAACUGAAAUCAUUAGACCGUUUCUGAAACCAGUAGUGAAGUAUGUUGUUCAAUUCGAUAAUCCACGAAAAACCUUACCACAAUUUGAAUAUUAUAGCGGAAUCUAUCACAUAUAUAAAUAUGCUAUUAAUACAGGUGUUGCACGGCUGUCUUUAGUUAAUGUCGUGAGAUGCAGGUUAGCUCCAAUAAAUUAACGUAAACCCUUGCUUUAUUUAUCAUUAUAAAGUAGUUCUCUGGCAUAUCGGAUAAGGUAACAGGGGUCAAGGCAAGUACUCGCGGCCCU